rnacentral:rRNA from 1 species
CCUACGGGUGGCAGCAGUGGGGAAUAUUGCGCAAUGGGGGCAACCCUGACGCAGCAACGCCGCGUGAUUGAAGAAGGCCUUCGGGUUGUAAAGAUCUUUAAUCGGGGACGAAGAUUGACGGUACCCGAAGAAUAAGCGCAGGCUAACUACGUGCCAGCAGCCGCGGUAAGAAGGAGGGAGCAAGCGUUAUCCGGAUUUACUGGGUGUAAAGGGCGGGUAGGGGGGCAUGCAAGGCAGUAGUGAAAUCUGGGGGCUUAACCCCCAAACUGCUUUUGGAACUGCGUGUCUUGUGUGAUGGAGAGGCAGGCGGAAUUCCCAGUGUAGCGGUGCAAUGCGUAGAUAUUGGGAGGAACACCAGUGGCGCAGGCGGCCUGCUGGACAUUAACUGACGCUGAGGCGCGAAAGCGUGGGGAGCAAACAGGAUUAGAUACCCUUGUAGUC